rnacentral:misc_RNA from 1 species
UCCCGGAGGGCUUGUAGCUCAGUUGGUUAGAGCGCGCGCUUGAUAAGCGUGAGGUCGGAGGUUCAAGUCCUCCCAGGCCCACCAAUUUAUGCUCGUUUUUUGCUUAUCCAAGAGUGUGAAGCUUAAGCGUAUUAAAGUCUCUUCAAUCUUUGUUUAUUGUAAAGAUUUUAUUUUAUUCUCCAAAGAUUGCUGGUAAAUUUAUCCUAUUAAAUUCCCAAAGAGGAUUUUAAAAUCCCUUCGAAGGAUAUAGAGGAAUUUAAAGAAGGUAUAGAGAGAUUUAGAAUGAUGCCGAAUCAGAAAUAGUCCAAGUCAUUCAAGGUGAUGAAUUUUCUUGAGGAUUGAUUUGAAAAGAGCCAUUAAUU